GAUGAACGCUGGCGGCGUGCCUAAUACAUGCAAGUCGAGCGAAUGGAUUAAGAGCUUGCUCUUAUGAAGUUAGCGGCGGACGGGUGAGUAACACGUGGGUAACCUGCCCAUAAGACUGGGAUAACUCCGGGAAACCGGGGCUAAUACCGGAUAACAUUUUGAACCGCAUGGUUCGAAAUUGAAAGGCGGCUUCGGCUGUCACUUAUGGAUGGACCCGCGUCGCAUUAGCUAGUUGGUGAGGUAACGGCUCACCAAGGCAACGAUACGUAGCCGACCUGAGAGGGUGAUCGGCCACACUGGGACUGAGACACGGCCCAGACUCCUACGGGAGGCAGCAGUAGGGAAUCUUCCGCAAUGGACGAAAGUCUGACGGAGCAACGCCGCGUGAGUGAUGAAGGCUUUCGGGUCGUAAAACUCUGUUGUUAGGGAAGAACAAGUGCUAGUUGAAUAAGCUGGCACCUUGACGGUACCUAACCAGAAAGCCACGGCUAAUUACGUGCCAGCAGCCGCAGUAA
rnacentral:rRNA from 1 species